UACGUAGGGUGCAAGCGUUAAUCGGAAUUACUGGGCGUAAAGCGUGCGCAGGCGGUUGUGCAAGACAGAGGUGAAAUCCCCGGGCUUAACCUGGGAACUGCCUUUGUGACUGCACGGCUAGAGUGUAUCAGAGGGGGGUAGAAUUCCACGUGUAGCAGUGAAAUGCGUAGAUAUGUGGAGGAAUACCGAUGGCGAAGGCAGCCCCCUGGGAUAACACUGACGCUCAUGCACGAAAGCGUGGGGAGCAAACAGG
rnacentral:rRNA from 1 species